AUUGAACGCUAGCGGGAUGCUUUACACAUGCAAGUCGAACGGCAGCGCGGACUUCGGUCUGGCGGCGAGUGGCGAACGGGUGAGUAAUGUAUCGGAACGUGCCCAGUAGCGGGGGAUAACUACGCGAAAGCGUAGCUAAUACCGCAUACGCCCUACGGGGGAAAGCAGGGGAUCGUAAGACCUUGCACUAUUGGAGCGGCCGAUAUCGGAUUAGCUAGUUGGUGAGGUAACGGCUCACCAAGGCGACGAUCCGUAGCUGGUUUGAGAGGACGACCAGCCACACUGGGACUGAGACACGGCCCAGACUCCUACGGUAGGCAGCAGUGGGGAAUUUUGGACAAUGGGGGCAACCCUGAUCCAGCCAUCCCGCGUGUGCGAUGAAGGCCUUCGGGUUGUAAAGCACUUUUGGCAGGAAAGAAACGUCGCGGGCUAAUACCCCGUGGAACUGACGGUACCUGCAGAAUAAGCACCGGCUAACUACGUG
rnacentral:rRNA from 1 species